rnacentral:snoRNA from 1 species
UGGAAGUGAUGAAAUAGAGAUAACUGGAUGUCUCUUUGAAUGGAAUGUGUGUGAUAAAUGGAACUUAAACCAAGGGGGGUGGGAGGUGGGGAACGUGUGUGUGUGCAUGUGUAGAAGAGGCUUCAGACGGGGGCACUGAUAAUGCAGUGCUGAUUCCGGAGUGCAUCUGAGGCAUGUUGUUAAGUUUUAGGGUGCCACAUGACAACAUUGCCGAUGAUUAAAGCCCAAAACAAGCCCACCAAGACAAGCCUAGGCAUCCUAAAUCUCUAACAGGUUCACUGAUGAAAGUGAUCCUGUGAUCUGAUCCAA